GCAGUCGAGCGGUAGAGAGGUGCUUGCACCUCUUGAGAGCGGCGGACGGGCGAGUAAAGCCUAGGAAUCUGCCUGGUAGUGGGGGAUAACGCUCGGAAACGGACGCUAAUACCGCAUACGUCCUACGGGAGAAAGCAGGGGACCUUCGGGCCUUGCGCUAUCAGAUGAGCCUAGGUCGGAUUAGCUAGUUGGUGAGGUAAUGGCUCACCAAGGCGACGAUCCGUAACUGGUCUGAGAGGAUGAUCAGUCACACUGGAACUGAGACACGGUCCAGACUCCUACGGGAGGCAGCAGUGGGGAAUAUUGGACAAUGGGCGAAAGCCUGAUCCAGCCAUGCCGCGUGUGUGAAGAAGGUCUUCGGAUUGUAAAGCACUUUAAGUUGGGAGGAAGGGCAUUAACCUAAUACGUUAGUGUUUUGACGUUACCGACAGAAUAAGCACCGGCUAACUCUGUGCCAGCAGCCGCGGUAAUACAGAGGGUGCAAGCGUUAAUCGGAAUUACUGGGCGUAAAGCGCGCGUAGGUGGUUCGUUAAGUUGGAUGUGAAAUCCCCGGGCUCAACCUGGGAACUGCAUUCAAAACUGUCGAGCUAGAGUAUGGUAGAGGGUGGUGGAAUUUCCUGUGUAGCGGUGAAAUGC
rnacentral:rRNA from 1 species